AACCAUCUCCCAGUCUAUCAGCUUGGGUUGAGUUAUGCCUACUCUGCAUGGUCAACCCCUAUUGCACUUUGGCAAAGACACCAUACUCAGCGUUCAACAGGGAGAUCCUCUAGGGUUUGCACUCACCCUUCAACCUAUUGUGGUCCGCAUCAGGAUCGAAGUCCCCUCCCUCUCUCUAAACGCGUGGUACCUAGAUGACGGCACACUGAUCGGACCACCCAAGGCCCUCCUUUCAGCACUCAAAAUUGUUGAGGAAGAUGAUCCCACAGUCGGCCUCCAUUUAAACAGAAGCAAGUCUCUCUUAUUCAUUCCACCCUCCGCUGACGCUUCGACAUCUUCACUCCCAGAUGACAUCCCUAUCACUCAUGAAGGAUUUACCCUCCUCAGCUGCCCAAUUGGUCCACCUACCUACUGUGAUUCGGUGCUACUAGCUAAAGUUGACAAAAUGAAAGAGACUAUAUUGGUGCUUAAAGACAUGAGAGACUCUCAGGUGGAAACAACGCUACUGAGAUCUACUGCCCAAACUCUUGUAUGUCCUACGUACCUGCCCCCCAGAUCACAUCACCCAUGCUACUCUCCAAUUUGAUUCAAUUAUGAGAGAAGCACUGGAAUCCAUCAUGAGCAGCCGACUGGUCCUGGCAGAAAGCUUCCCGCCUCAACCUCCGCAGUGCUGUCUUACAUGCCCCUGCAGCUUUCAUCUCCUCAGCUGCCUCCACCAAGACCCUGGUGGAAUGUAUCCUUAAUCGCCCGACCAAUCUGGACGCCUAUCUAGAAAAAGCUGUGAGUGCCCUGUCAUCCUCCUCUUCCCACCCUGAAUGGCUCAAUCUAGAUGACAUAUAGACAUCCCUCUACGUCAGCGCCACUUGUCCUGUGCCAUUGAUAAAGCCAUGUACCAAAACCUCUUGGACACCUCACCUUCAACCAGGCUUUGGGAAACUCGUCUGCUCCACCCCAUGCUGGAGAUUGGUUGAACGGGGUGCCAUCAGAUGUGCUUGGCCUCCACAUGCAAGACAAGGAAUUCAACAGCUGCUUGAAAUAUUGGCUCGGUAUCCCUCUCCACAGUACCCCCCACCUCUGCCCACCAUGUCGCACCUCCGCCGACGAAUAUGGUGACCAUCAAGUUGGCUGUGGCGGAAACGGAGACAGAAUCACCCGCCACAAUGCGGUCAGAGAUGUCAUUUUCGCUCUCCGACCAUCCCGCGAGGCCCAAGGUUUAAUCCCAGAAUCCCUGUCAAGACCAGCUGACGUCUUCCUCCCAACUUGGCAAGGCGGCAGGCUCGCUGUCCAUGUAAUUUCACCACUCCAGCAAACCCUCAUUCAUGAAGCUGCCUUCUCCCCUGGACACACUGGAGUAAGGCGCAAGCUCACCACCCAUCUACAGGUCUGCUGCUCCAUAGGUGUAAACUUCAUUCCCAUUGUGGCAGAAACACUAAAAGGUCUAGGCGAAGAAACAAUCAACAUCAUAGGUGCCAUCGGAAAUGCCAUCGACCGGAGAGUAACCAUGACACAUUCCACAUCCUCCACCAAGAAGCAUCUGUUUCAUCGCCUGGCCAUUGCACUUUGGAGGCUUCAUCACCAACAAACUGUAUCUCCUUCAGCGGAUGGUAUCCGCUAAACUGUAUGCCCCCCCCCUCUCUUAUCUUUUGGUCUGUUGCUUUUGUACAUUUGUACUGUUUGAUAUUACAUGGAAAAAAAUUAUUCCUGUGGAUGUAAUGCGCAUAUGCGCGCUCAUUCCCAUGAUAUCCUAGCCUCGUUCCCAGGCCGAUCCGUCUCCAAUUGAACGCUAGGUGUAGCGUUCAAUUGGAGACGGAUCCAAAUCCCAGAUAGGCUUGCAACCCGACCUCCCGUCAGGGACGGUCGGGCUCCGCCCAACUAGAUUGGAUCUUGGAUAAUAAUUAUUAUUAGCCUCGCUCCCAGGCCGAUCCGUCUCCAAUUGAACGCUACUGCAAGCCUAUCUGGGAUUUGUUCUAGCGCCACUAUAGUGGCGCCCUAUCAGAUUGCAGCAUUUUUCACGUGGCUUGGUUACACUUCCGCUUGCAUCUAGUUGCAAAACCGCAUGCAGUAUUGCUGUGCCAUCCUGUGGUUUACAUGUCAUCAAGUCGGUUAACACCCACUUGAGAAUAAUAAUAUUCAUAGCAGUACUACAUAAUGCGAAGAACAAAUUCCAGAUAGGCUUGCAACCUGACCUCCCGUCAGGGACGGUCGGGCUCCGCCCAACUAGAUCCAAUCCAGAUCUCCUGGCAGAAGAAUCAUAUUAUAUACAUAGCCUCGAUCCCAGGCCGAGUUUUCGCUUUUAUAACGGUUAGGCGAACAACUGGGCCUGGUACUAGUUGUCUGCGCAUGCGUCAGUCGUUUGUCAGAUUCUGACGAAUGGAUAUUCUCGUUCACUUUCGUGACAUUUAUAUUCGUGUACUAUCGUGUACUAGAAGUCAGUUCCCGUUUUAUCAUUAUUGGAAUCGAUUGGAAUGGCUCUUAAUAGCUGAAGCUUCUCUCUUCUCUGAAGCUUAUUCUGAAGACUGAACAACAAGGGAAGAGGUAUAAAGCUUUGUCAAGCUUGUUAAGGAGCAAUGGCUAAUAUCUAACUAUCCCAACAGUGCUCCUCUUGGCUAUACUAACGGACGAGACUGGACAGUUUGAGACACAGGACUGGAGUAUGACCUGCUCAUUUGAGCGUUGCUGGGUAGCUCAGAGACAUCAAGAGAAUCUACGUUUUCUCAAGCAAUGAGUUACGAGUUGGGGCCUAGAAUCAGAGAAGUCCAGCAGCCUGCUAAAUCUUUUUGAAACUUAAUUUGAAGGCAUUCAAUCAUCCUGAAGUUGCCCUGGGUCACUGUAAUUGUGCUGCAGCACAACUGGCAACUCCCCAGGCCUUUGUGAAGCAGCUCCCUAUGUGCAUCUUUUGUGUACUCACUCUGUGCAUUUUCUGUGUACAAAUUUCGAUUAUUGAUUUAUUAAAUACUUUUG